GGGGAAUAUUGCACAAUGGGCGAAAGCCUGAUGCAGCGACGCCGCGUGAGGGAUGACGGCCUUCGGGUUGUAAACCUCUUUCAGCAGGGACGAAGCGAAAGUGACGGUACCUGCAGAAGAAGCACCGGCCAACUACGUGCCAGCAGCCGCGGUAAUACGUAGGGUGCGAGCGUUGUCCGGAAUUACUGGGCGUAAAGAGCUCGUAGGCGGUUUGUCGCGUCGUCUGUGAAAUCCCGCAGCUCAACUGCGGGCUUGCAGGCGAUACGGGCAGACUCGAGUACUGCAGGGGAGACUGGAAUUCCUGGUGUAGCGGUGAAAUGCGCAGAUAUCAGGAGGAACACCGGUGGCGAAGGCGGGUCUCUGGGCAGUAACUGACGCUGAGGAGCGAAAGCGUGGGUAGCGAAC
rnacentral:rRNA from 1 species